AUAAGCGUGGCUACACCAGUAUUCUAUUACUCUGCUCUGAGUGGUGCUAUUUUCGCUUAAAUCGAAAUGGUUUCCGUUAUUCUUUGUUUGUUCCCCGCACUACUGGAAAAAAAUAUAUAUAUUUUCCAAGAGGCACUAGCCAGCCACGGCAACUUCACUAUACAAAGUGUUUAUAGCCACUUAUGUUAGAAAACAUGAAAUGGCACGUUGUUCCCGCAAAUAA